AUAAUAAUAAUAAUAAUAAUAACCUAAAAUACAUCUGUCUAAGCAGAAAUAUGCCUAAAUGAAAACAAUAAGCCAUAUGCAUCCAUCAAUAAACACAUCAUCUUCAGCUAAAAUUCCCACCUAAAUAAAGAAUCCAUAUAUUCACAGAAAGCGAAAAAGAAUGGAAUUAACAGAGCCAAAAGGAAUCAAGCAAGGAACAGAUCUAACGAUAAAAGAAGGGAAGAGUACCGACCA
rnacentral:misc_RNA from 1 species